rnacentral:rRNA from 1 species
AUUGAACGCUGGCGGCAUGCCUAACACAUGCAAGUCGAGCGAGCGGCGGACGGGUGAGUAAUGUAUGGGGACUGCCCGAUAGAGGGGGAUAAAGACUGGAAACGGUGGCUAAUCCAGCAUACGGUAGGCUAACCCAUAUGGGAUUAGCUAGUAGGUAAGGUAAGGUCUUACCUAGGCGACGAUCCCUAGAUGGUCUGAUAGGAUGAUCAGCCACACUGGGACUGAGCCACGGCCCAGACUCCUACGGAGGCAGCAGUGGGGAAUAUUGCACAAUGGGCGCAAGCCUGAUGCAGCCAUGCCGCGUGUAUGAAGAAGGCCCUAGGGUUGUAAAGUACUUUCAGUCGGGAGGCGUUACCGACAGAAGAAGCACCGGCUAACUACGUGCCAGCAGCCGCGGUAAUUC